UGUCUGUUGAGGUGAUUAAGAAAGCAUUUCAAGCAACAGAAGACGGUUUCCUCUCGGUUGUGACUAGGCAAUGGCCCACAAAACCACAGAUUGCUGCAGUUGGAUCAUGCUGUCUUGUUGGAGUUAUCUGCAGUGGAACCUUAUAUAUCGCCAACCUUGGCGACUUGUUGUGACUAGACAAUGGCCCACAAAACCGCAGAUUGCUGCAGUUGGAUCAUGCUGUCUUGUUGGAGUUAUCUGCAGUGGAACCUUAUAUAUAGCCAACCUUGGCGACUCAAGGGCAGUCUUAGGGAGACUUGUCAAGUCUACUGGAGAGGUUCUCUCGAUUCAGCUCUCUGCAGAACACAAUGUGAGCAUUGAAUCUGUAAGACAAGAGUUGCAAACUUUGCAUCCAAAUGACUCAC
rnacentral:lncRNA from 1 species